UGCCAUGCCACCAAGCACAGCCCCUUUAGCCCACAGCUGAGCUGCAGGAACGAGACUGGAAGAGCACGGGGCAUCGAUGUGUUACAUCUAAUCUGGGGGCAGCAUUAUCCAAAGACAUAUUAGGGACAGUCUCACCCUGUGUGUUGUUACAUCAAGUCCCUUAUGGAGAGGUUAAUAGCGACCUCAGCAAAGGUCGUUCAUUCAGAGUCGUGCAUAUUGCUGUAAGGACAAGCUGACUUUGGGAUUUUCACAUGAAAGCAAAUGAAUGGUCAUCAACUCCCAUAAAAAUCCAUUUAAUAGGACAAAACUUUCUCCAGAAAGCUACAAUAAAAUUCAGAAGACAAGAAGACAUUGGAUGUAUAUUGACAUGGAGAUUACACUGAAUUUUAUCAACUUCCUGGACAUGGUUCAAAGUAGUAUAUCAGAAGGAUCUUCAGAAAACUAUUCAAACUCUUACUGACAAGUGUGAAUCCUAAAGAAGAUUCUUCAACCUUUCUCAUCUCUCUUCUAUCCCUAAAAUUAAAAAAAUACAUUUAUAAAUAAAUAAAGUCAAAGUUAGACCCGUCUUUAUUAA